rnacentral:rRNA from 1 species
AGAGUUUGAUUAUGGCUCAGAACGGACGCUGGCGGCAGGCCUAACACAUGCAAGUCGAACGCUGUAGCAAUACAGAGUGGCAGACGGGUGAGUAACGCGUGGGAACAUGCCCUUCGGUUCGGAAUAACUCAGGGAAACUUGAGCUAAUACCGGAUACGCCCUUAGGGGGAAAGAUUUAUUGCCGAAGGAUUGGCCCGCGUCCGAUUAGCUAGUUGGUGAGGUAAUGGCUCACCAAGGCGACGAUCGGUAGCUGGUCUGAGAGGAUGAUCAGCCACACUGGGACUGAGACACGGCCCAGACUCCUACGGGAGGCAGCAGUGGGGAAUAUUGGACAAUGGGCGCAAGCCUGAUCCAGCCCAUGCCGCGUGAGUGAUGAAGGCCCUAGGGUUGUAAAGCUCUUUCGCCAGGGACGAUAAUGACGGUACCUGGAUAAGAAGCCCCGGCUAACUUCGUGCCAGCAGCUGC